rnacentral:rRNA from 1 species
UACGUAGGUGGCAAGCGUUGUCCGGAUUUAUUGGGUUUAAAGGGUGCGUAGGCGGUUUUCUAAGUCAGCUGUGAAAUACGGCAGCUCAACUGUCGAGGUGCUGUUGAUACUGGGGAACUUGAGUACUGAUGAGGUAGGCGGAAUGGACGGUGUAGCGGUGAAAUGCUUAGAGAUCGUCCAGAACACCGAUAGCGAAGGCAGCUUACUAAGGAGUAACUGACGCUGAGGCACGAAAGUGUGGGGAUCAAACAGG